ACCCUAGCCUCAUUUCUUUCCUCUUAGCCGUUCGGCUCCUCCCCUUUCUCUCAUAUCCUUUUUUCUUUUUCAUUUUCCCCACAAAAACCCUCCAGCCACCGCUUCCAAACGGCCCUGACGAGGGGCCGAUGACCUCCUAAAAUUAACACCAAACCCCUUAACUCAAAACUGAGACCCAAAUCAACCGAAACCACACAAAUCAACCCCAAAAGUAAAAAAAACUACCUUCGAUGUUAGACCAAGCCCCCUCAUCGCCGGUGAAGUAAAGCCCAAGGUUAGAUCUGUUGCACGUUGUCUCCUUCACCUUUGUGUUCUUGGGGAGGUUUUGUUGAGGCCAUCAUCACGAGUGAUGUUUGACAUAGAGAUGAUGACGUUGGAGGUCACGGGUUCGGUCAGAGUGACGGUAGAAACGGCGGAGAGAGUACUUAUCAGCGAUAAUGAUAUCAAGUUGGGGCUGGAAAGUUAGGGUUUCAACAAACCCUAAUUGGUUAGGUUUGGGCCAAUUAGGCCCUCUUGUAAUUGGGCCUGAUUGUGAGCUUGAUGAUUUGUAAUUUGAGCCCAAAUUGGGUUUACAAAGCUUGA